GACGAACGCUGGCGGCGUGAUUAACACAUGCAAGUCGAACGGAAAGGCCCUGCUUUUGUGGGGUGCUCGAGUGGCGAACGGGUGAGUAACACGUGAGUAACCUGCCCUUGACUUUGGGAUAACUUCAGGAAACUGGGGCUAAUACCGGAUAGGAGCUCCUGCUGCAUGGUGGGGGUUGGAAAGUUUCGGCGGUUGGGGAUGGACUCGCGGCUUAUCAGCUUGUUGGUGGGGUAGUGGCUUACCAAGGCUUUGACGGGUAGCCGGCCUGAGAGGGUGACCGGCCACAUUGGGACUGAGAUACGGCCCAGACUCCUACGGGAGGCAGCAGUGGGGAAUAUUGCACAAUGGGCGGAAGCCUGAUGCAGCAACGCCGCGUGCGGGAUGACGGCCUUCGGGUUGUAAACCGCUUUCGCCUGUGACGAAGCGUGAGUGACGGUAAUGGGUAAAGAAGCACCGGCUAACUACGUG
rnacentral:rRNA from 1 species